rnacentral:pre_miRNA from 1 species
UGGGUUUCACUGUUGAGAUAUGUGUGGGGUUUCAGCAGCGGUGAGAUAGAUGUGGGUUUUCAGCACUAGUGACUGAAAACCCACAUCUAUCUCACCGCUGCUGAAAUCCCACACAUAUCUCAACAGUGAAACCCA